GUCCACGCCGUAAACGAUGUCUACUGGUUGUUGGGAGAGCAAUCUCUUGGUAACGAAGCUAACGCGUGAAGUAGACCGCCUGGGGAGUACGGUCGCAAGAUUAAACUCAAAGGAAUUGACGGGGACCCGCACAAGCGGUGGAUGAUGUGGAUUAAUUCGAUGCAACGCGAAAACCUUACCUAGCCUUGACAUGCCGAGAAUCCUUGAGAGAUCAGGGAGUGCCCGCAAGGGAAUUCGGACACAGGUGCUGCAUGGCUGUCGU
rnacentral:rRNA from 1 species